CAAUCUGAUUAAAACCAGCCGUUCUGAUACGUACUGGUCUCGAGGGUGGUAUACCUAGCGUGCCAAAAACAGCAGAUUGGCCCGAAUGAAGAACCAGAAAGGGAUUUCACUAUCAAUAAUAACAUCUAUUUUUUAACCCGUUUAUCACUUAUUCAUAAAAAGUUGGUACGUAAAUUAUCAUCAGAGUCGAUUAGAACUUAACACACAAGGAACAGCUGAGUUUUCCAAUAAAGCAAGUGCCUGAAGUUCUUAAGAACCGUUAAUACAGUUAUUCAUAAUCGAAUUUAUUAUAUGAUUGAUGAAUUCCUGGCUCUCUGAUUGGCUGAUAUCCAACUUUCUAAAAACAUUAAACGUAAUGUUCACCUGUACAUGACCUACGUGGUCAAUAUAACAUUUGGUGUUUUUUUUCUACAUUGGACGAAAAGAAUCGGGAAAUCAAAUUGAUAGGAUAGAAUUAUCAUUAUUCCUGUCGUCAAGUAAAAUAUAAUUGCGUUUCUAAGUGUGUUCGGCUACGGCUUCAAACUAAAAGGUGUUGAGGGUUUUCUUUUUUCGCUUGAUAACACUAAAUUUGAUAUCUCCGAAUCAGUUCGUCGCUGAAUCAUAUACUAGUACAUUGUAAUGAAACAUCUAUUGCUGUUUUUUUUUUCGACCAAUACGAUGAUUUAUCUAGCCUAGAAGUAUAAUAUUCACAGUAUUGACCUAAAAAAACAGCAACCUUUUAAAGGUUAACCUUUUAACCUUUACUGAUAUAUAUGCGGUGAAUAGUCUUUUAACUAUAUAGGGGUCAUGUACAGACACUGUUCAAUCUGAUUAAAAUUAGACCAUUCAUCUCGCUCUCUGUUAUGUAUGGUAUGGUAACCAUACAUAACAGAGAGCCAGACGAAAGGUCUAAUCAGAUUGAGACACUGUUUAGCCAAUUCGGCAAUAUAGAGAAAAGAUAGGAAUUCGACGAAGAGACGUCUUCAGCUCAAACAUGUAAAAGACACUUUUGAAAUGUUUUCUGCAAAUGAUAAGAUUAAUGUGACGUCAUCACUGUUUGUGGGGGACCAAUGUUCGUGGGUAACCAUUGAAAUUACAUCCCCACGAACAGGUUGGUCACACACGAACUAGUACAAAUAUUGCAAAAACUUCAGAAUAAGGAAGAUUCCUCAUGUUUUGCUCAAUAAUUGAUAUUCAAAGUAUUUUGAAGUUUUUCCUCGCAGCGGUUUGAAUUAAGUGAAGAAUUCAGAAUUUUCCAGAACACGGUGCACAGAAAAUAUCAACCAUCAACUAUAUAACGACAAAUGAGCAGAGCUGGAUUCGUAUCUGAUGAAGAAUAUGACCGGUUUGGGGAAUAGUAGGAAAUACAGGAUCAUCCCAAGGACUGCACCGACCAAAAAUGGUGCACUUUGUGUCAUGAUGACAUCCCAGGCGAUCAACCUCUCGCAAUUUUAAGGAGCCAAGACAGCUAUAACCAACUAACCACAUAAAAUGUUUAGUCUACGACAGCUAAAAGAUAACCACAUAAAUGUUUAGUCAACGAUAUAUUUUGAUACUUGUUCGUCAAUAAAACAAAACAAAUUG